rnacentral:rRNA from 1 species
CAUCAGUGGCGAAGGCGGCUUUCUGGACUAUAACUGACACUGAGGCACGAAAGCGUGGGGAGCAAACAGGAUUAGAUACCCNUGGUAGUCCACGCCGUAAACGAUGGAUACUAGAUGCAGGAGGUAUUCACUCCUUCUGUGUCGCAGCUAACGCAAUAAGUAUCCCGCCUGGGGAGUGCGAUCGCAAGAUU